rnacentral:misc_RNA from 1 species
GAUUUUUGAAUCUAAAGUCUCUACAGAUAUUUCAAUCCCCUUAGUUGCUUAAUAUAAUUAACGCAAAGCUUAACAGGGCUCCUGGAGGGGCUUUGUAUGCAAUUUUUGCAGCUGAAAAGCUCAAAACAAAGUGAGUUUUGAGAAGUUGCCAACCUUGUAUGUUUGGGUUUAAUACCUUAAAAAUAAUUCACUGAGAUGGGAUCCACCCAUAUGGAGUGAACUUGCCAGAUUGGGGUGCAAAAGAAAGCUAUCAAGAAUGCUACUGUUAGUCCAAUUCUUAGCAUGAAUCUGCCUAGACAUAGGUAAGGAUGGACCGACAUGGAUGGUCCAAUUGCUAGCA